rnacentral:misc_RNA from 1 species
AAAGAUAACGUUGAUAUGUUGAAAUUGAUUCAAUUGGGUCUCACGUUCUCUGACGAUAAUGGGAAUUUGCCCACUUGUGGAACAGAUAAGUUCUGCGUUUGGCAGUUCAAUUUCCGUGAGUUCAGUAUCAGCGAGGACAUAUUUGCUAGUGAUUCUAUUGAGCUGUUGCGCCAAUGUGGGAUUGAUUUUAAGCAGAAUAAUGAGAAUGGUAUUGAUGUAAACCGGUUUGGUGAGCUUCUGAUGUCAUCAGGAAUUGUUUUGAAUGACAGCGUGCAUUGGGUUACAUUUCAUAGUGGGUACGAUUUUGGGUACUUGCUUAAACUUUUGACUUGCAAGAGUCUGCCUGAUACACAAGCAGGAUUCUUCGACUUGAUCAGUAUGUACUUUCCCAUGGUGUAUGAUAUCAAGCAUUUGAUGAAGUUUUGCAAUAGCCUUCAUGGUGGGUUGAACAAGCU